GGCUGCUGACGACCACGUGGGCCCCAUCCUGGGCCAGGCGCCGGGCGAUGGCAAAGCCAAUCCUGCAAAAGAGAUAUACCGUCAAGGCCUCUACAGAAGGGAAAAAUGCAUUUGAGGCCUGAGGACAAGAGUCCAGUUGUUGAAGAAUGCUUGUUUCUGGAUGGGACUGGCUCUGGGUACUCACCCGUCGGUGGAGGCUGUCACCAGGGCCACCUUAUUCGCGAGCGGGUUGUGGCGAGUCAUCCCGGAGCUGGCCAUCCUCACCGAUUUCCAGGGUAGAGUCCAGCCACCCAGCAGCGGUCUCGCUUUGUGCAUAGUUCGGGCCACGUGAGCUGGGAGAGGUAACAGUUCAAAGGGCAGGGGCCCGGCUGAGUGGGAUGGUCCUACCUCUUCAGACAGCCCCACUUCCAGGAGCUGCUCCCAGGGCGAGGAGAGCCGCUGCGCUCGCGAGUGCUCCCUGCCGGCGCCCGGCGCCCCUUCCUGGAACACCCGUCAAGUUUUCAGUCCAAGUUUUUUUCGGGACCGCCCACACCUCCUCUACAGGAAUCCGGGCUUUUCACUGCUCCAGCGGCUCCUCACAAGUCUGCUGGCCCACUUAUUUUGGGGUGGGGUGAGGGGAGAGCUGAGGUGGAGGAAGCUUCGAAGCUUUAUCUCCUUUUAUUUAUUUUGUUCUGCUUCCUUAAACUCUACAUAAAAUUUCCUUCAAAAAAUGCCUGAGGUUUAUAGGUGGGGCUGCGCCGGUAACUCAUUUGCUUAAGUGCUCACUGAAGAAGCCCCAGACCCCGAGCUCCAGGGUCUUACACUCUGCACAUGAGCUACAUGAUUUGUUUUGUUUUUUAAACUUAGACCCAUUUUUUGUUUUAAUCAUUAAAAUACCUAUUAUUUAAAUUAUAA